CUAGCCUGGCUUUUCUACCCUUGGAGAGGCACUCAAAGAAAGCUCACAGCAGGUGAGCAGAAGGCAGGAGAUACGAAAGGAAGCCAGGCGGUGGGGUAAUCAGGAGGUCAUGUUGUGGAGCCAGAGGUCAGAGCACUUUGAGAUCUGCACAGGAAGCACAAAGCUCUGGUUACCACUGGAAGCCGUCUUGCCCCCAUAAACCAGCCUUAGGAUGCCACUGAUGCUGUAUGGCAGAAUGGAGUAACAGAGAGAAUUUGCAGAAUAAAGAAGGGACAAUGCAGUCACCAGGUCAGCAUUAAGGGAAGGCUUGGCUGCAUCAUCUGCCACUCUGCUGCUGCUGACUCUGCCAGUGGGGACAGCACAUGCUUCCUUCUACGCUUGCCUGAGGUUCGUAACUUCAGAGCCCCACAGCAUUUCUGGAAGGAGUAAAAUGAGCUACAUGGUCCGGGAAGCUACUCCUAAGUAGAGUUCACAAUCAAAGGAAUAGAAGCUGGGGAAAACAAUAAAGCAGUCUUCUUCUUCUCAA
rnacentral:lncRNA from 1 species